UGUGAGGUGUGUGUGCGCGUGAAGCAGUUCAUUUGGUAAAGUUGUUCGCACGAAAGAAAGUUUUGUUUCUUUCAUCAAGCAGUUUUGUCUUUCCUAUCCAUAGAGGUGCUCGUUUGAAAGAAGAAAGAAAAUUGAUAUGGGACAUUGCCCUAGGGUGCACUCUCUUCAGCUACGAAAAAAUUAUCCUUCUCGAUCUAUAGGGCAUGGGUAUUACAAUCGAACCACAACACAACAAUUUGGUUUAGCAUUUAGGUCUUUUCAAUAUAAACUAUGCCAUUUCGUUGUACUGAUUUUAAAGUUAAACAACGAAAAAUAGGUAAUAGUUUGCAAUUCCAGUGUCAUUUAGAUGCAGUGGCUUUCUUGUGUUUGUGUUACCUUUGUUGCUGAAUUGUUCUUAGAUACGAGGAGGCGAAGGCGAAAGGGACUGAUAGUUAUGACAGGGAAUUGGAGGAUGUCAUAGAUAAGCUUAUUGGUGAGUGUGAUAGGAAAAUUAGCAAGGCUUUCAAACGACUCGAGGACGAGGAUGCAAAGGCUGUCGUUGUCAUUUCGAUCUCCGAAGUUACUUAAGUGAGUGUUGAUUGUUGUGUUAGGUUCCCCUAUGGCGAGUUGUGAUAAGUAAUUCUAAUUUGUUUUUGUGUUUGCAAAGCCCUAUGGUGCUUGAGCUAUCAAAGGAAAUUGAAGAGAAGUUUAAAUUUGAAGAAUAUAUAAUUAUCAAUAAGAAGGAAGAUUAAAUUGGUCGUAA